rnacentral:rRNA from 1 species
GAUGAACGCUGGCGGCGUGCCUAAUACAUGCAAGUCGAGCGAACGGACGAGAAGCUUGCUUCUCUGAUGUUAGCGGCGGACGGGUGAGUAACACGUGGAUAACCUACCUAUAAGACUGGGAUAACUUCGGGAAACCGGAGCUAAUACCGGAUAAUAUUUUGAACCGCAUGGUUCAAAAGUGAAAGACGGUCUUGCUGUCACUUAUAGAUGGAUCCGCGCUGCAUUAGCUAGUUGGUAAGGUAACGGCUUACCAAGGCAACGAUGCAUAGCCGACCUGAGAGGGUGAUCGGCCACACUGGAACUGAGACACGGUCCAGACUCCUACGGGAGGUAGCAGAAGGGAAUCUUCCGCAAUGGGCGAAAGCCUGACGGAGCAACGCCGCGUGAGUGAUGAAGGUCUUCGGAUCGUAAAACUCUGUUAUUAGGGAAGAACAUAUGUGUAAGUAACUGUGCACAUCUUGACGGUACCUAAUCAGAAAGCCACGGCUAACUACGUG